rnacentral:lncRNA from 1 species
UGGUUUAUCUGAGGAAAGGGGCAGGCGGUCCAGGAGUUUGCAUCUCUGAGGCUGGAGAUGAAGAUGGUGGUAGUGGUGGGGGAGGGGGUGGGUAGAAAUAAUGAGGUCAGGGCCGGGCGCAGUGGCUCAUGCCUGUAAUCCCAGCACUUCGGAAGGCCGAGGCAGGUGGAUCACCUGAGGUCAGGAGUUUGAGACCAGCCUGACCAACAUGGUGAAACCCCAUCUGCAAUAAAAAUACAAAAAUUUUAGCCGGGCUUGGUGGCAGGCGCCUGUACUCCCAGCUACUUGAGAGGAGGCUGAGGCAGAAGAAUCACUUGAACCCCAGAGUCGGAAGUUGCAGUGAGCCAAGACUGCGCCACUGCAAUCCAGCCUGGGCAAAAGAGCGAGACUCCAUCUCAAAAAUAAUAACAAUAAUAAUAAUGAGGUCAAUUCCAGACGUGCUUUUGGGACGUCUGUGGGCAUAUAGUCUGGAGCUAAGAAGAGACAUCAAGGCCAGUUAGAGAAAUCGAGAACAAUUAAAGUACGGAGGGUAGUUGAAAGCAUG